ACCGUAUAUGGGUAGGACUGGGCUGGGUUUUUUGCUUGGAUUCAGGCCUAAUCUGUAAACAGAACUUUUGAGUUGAAGUGGUCUGCUUUUUGUGACAGUCACCAUUUCAGAGUCUCUCAAAAGUUCUCUUCACAGAGAGUUGUCUUCAGCAUCCCUAGGAGCGAUGUAGAGACUACUUGGGCUCUCCGACUGCAUUGCAGGAUGAGAACAUCAAUUUUUGGCCUGGGUCCUUUGCAGUAAUUUUUGCUGUCAGAUCCACAGACUAAAUGAAGAUCAAGUCUGAAAGUCAUUCACUUUGUCAUCUGUUGGCUCUACCUUUGACUCAAGUGCCAGCCUCUUCAUCUCUCUCCUGGAUUCCUAUAAUACCUUCUCAGCUUCGGCUGUCAUUUCCCCUCCACACACAGCCAGCAUGAGUGACUGCAAAAUCAAAGUCCUGAGCUGGUCUCCCCACUCACUCAAAGGCCCUGUAGGACAGUGUCCCUCUGUGAUGGCAUAGCCACGCUGGCCUCUUGGCUGUUCCUCAGAUAUCCCAUGCUGCUGCCACCUUGAGCACUUGCUGGUUUAUCUGCCUGAUUCAAUGCUCUUCUCCCGACAUUUAUCCACAUGGACCCAUCUGCAAAGUUCUCAAGUUUCUGCUCAGAGUCACCUCAUCAGGUUGGUGACAACCUUAUUUAAAAUAGCUCUUCUUCUCCAUAUCUCCUUGCCUGACUUCAUUUUUAUCAUAGCAAUUGUAUUGAUUUGUUUUGUUGUUUAUUGUGUGUCUCCCUAUUCUAGAAUGUAAGCUCCUUGAGGACAGGGACUUGUCUGCUUGACUUGUUUCUAUCAGGGUGUCAGGACAGGGCAUAUGGUAGGUGCUUAAUAAAUAUGUGUGGGUGAAUGGACAAUGAUUCAUGGAUGAUAUCCAGAGGGUAAUGGUGAUUGCCAGUCAUGGGCAUAUGGCAUUUUGUUUUACAAUAUUUUUAUACAUAUGGGAUAUUAUUAUUAUUAUUUUUGAGACAGAGUUUCGCUCUGUCACCCAGGCCAGAGUGCAGUGGCAUGAUCUUGGCUGACUGCAGCUUUGACUUUCCAGUCUCACACAAUCCUCCCACCUCAGCCUCCCAAGUAGCUGGGACUACAUGCAUGCACCACCAUGCCUGGCUAAUUUUUUAAAUUUUUGGUAGGGCUAGGGCUUCACUAGGUUUCUCAGGCAGGUCUCAAACUCCUAGGCUCAAGUGACCUUCCUACCUAAGCCUCCCAAAGUGCUGGGAUUACAGGGAUGAGCCACCAGGCCCUGCCAAUACUAUUAUUUUUGUUGCUUCAUGAUACGUUUUAGAAAUCUUUUAUGUUAGUUAAAUGGAAAACUGUCUUGUUCUUUUUGACUGCUACAUACCAUUCCUCAGUGUGGGUGUACCGUGAUGUAACCAUUCCCUCCUUAGUAGUCCUUGUUUGCAAUUUUUCUAUUUUAUUUCAUUGCAAAUAGAGCUUUGAGAAACACCUUUGCACAUGUGGUUUUGGGGACAUGCAUUAUCAUUUCUUUCAUGUUGAACUCCUUCAAGUGAAAUUUCCAGGUGUAAGUCACAGCUGCCCAAUAGCUUUCUGCAAU
rnacentral:lncRNA from 10 species